CACAUGCAAGUCGAGCGGAAAGGCCCUUCGGGGUACUCGAGCGGCGAACGGGUGAGUAACACGUGAGCAACCUGCCCCAGGCUUUGGGAUAACCCCGGGAAACCGGGGCUAAUACCGAAUAUGACCUCCGAUCGCAUGGUUGGUGGUGGAAAGUUUUUCGGCUUGGGAUGGGCUCGCGGCCUAUCAGCUUGUUGGUGGGGUGAUGGCCUACCAAGGCGACGACGGGUAGCCGGCCUGAGAGGGCGACCGGCCACACUGGGACUGAGACACGGCCCAGACUCCUACGGGAGGCAGCAGUGGGGAAUAUUGCACAAUGGGCGGAAGCCUGAUGCAGCGACGCCGCGUGAGGGAUGACGGCCUUCGGGUUGUAAACCUCUUUCAGCAGGGACGAAGCGUAAGUGACGGUACCUGCAGAAGAAGCGCCGGCCAACUACGUGCCAGCAGCCGCGGUAAGACGUAGGGCGCGAGCGUUGUCCGGAUUUAUUGGGCGUAAAGAGCUCGUAGGCGGCUUGUCGCGUCGACUGUGAAAACCCGCAGCUCAACUGCGGGCCUGCAGUCGAUACGGGCAGGCUAGAGUUCGGUAGGGGAGACUGGAAUUCCUGGUGUAGCGGUGAAAUGCGCAGAUAUCAGGAGGAACACCGGUGGCGAAGGCGGGUCUCUGGGCCGAUACUGACGCUGAGGA
rnacentral:rRNA from 1 species